UACGAAGGGGGCUAGCGUUGCUCGGAAUCACUGGGCGGAAAGCGCACGUAGGCGGAUUGUUAAGUCAGGGGUGAAAUCCUGGAGCUCAACUCCAGAACUGCCUUUGAUACUGGCGAUCUCGAGUCCGGGAGAGGUGAGUGGAACUGCGAGUGUAGAGGUGAAAUUCGUAGAUAUUCGCAAGAACACCAGUGGCGAAGGCGGCUCACUGGCCCGAUACUGACGCUGAGGCACGAAAGCGUGGGGAGCAAACAGG
rnacentral:rRNA from 1 species